rnacentral:lncRNA from 1 species
AAAGGAAGGUUGUUUUAAACUGGGGUUUGAGAAAUAGGCUUUAGCAGAAUUGUAGUGUUUUCAGGGAAUAGCCUGUCCUUUCCAGUUCAUGACAAGUGAAUGGGAUUUUUCCUAAAAGGGAUUCAGGUGUUAAAAUGCAACGUAUUCGUGCUUUAGAAACGUAGCGGGAGCGAGCACUAUGAGAGUCAAGAAAUGGACAGCGAUGGGAACUGAUGAUUUUUGUAUUCUAAUGACUCUUGAAAGGAUUUCUAUUGAAGUGUAUGGGACAUAGCUGAAUGCAGCAAAGUCAUUUCUUGCACUUGACCAGCUGGUUAUGUGUGUAGAGGAGUGCAAUUAUUUAAUGAGUAACAUGGAGCCUGGUGAAGAAAUCUCAUUGCUGCUGUGGCAUCAUUAACUGUCUUCGUAUGCCCAGUUCACAAAGGAAAAAUAUUUCUGAUGAUAAUAGAUGGAAAAAAUGCUUUUGAAGUGGUGAAAUUUAAAGAAGAAAAUAGCAGGAACCUUACAUGUGGUAUUUUUACUUCUCAUAAAUUAUCUUAACUGUUUAAGUGCCAUGAGGAGCAAAUUAWUUUUUUUUAAUAUCUGUAAGUCAGAAUAUAAAUUUAUUUGGAGUAAGAACUAAGAAAAUGAAAGGAUAUUGCAUUAYAUUUCAGCUAGAUAUUUAAGAUCAAUUAGCAGGUUCUUGGAAAAGAGAUUGUAGUGAAGUAUUUGAGGCAUAUAGUUGCUUUGAAAAUGCUUUCUCAGUCUUUUUUUUUUUUUUUCUUUUAAGAUCUCCGAAUACUGGAUUGUUAGCUGUAGCUACUGGUUAUUCUUUGUUAUUGGGAGAGCUGUAUUUUCUUUAAAUGAAACAUCUACAAUCUAUAAAUGAGCCUUAAGAAAGGCUGUUUUUACCUUCUGAAACCAAUGUAGGGCCCAGUUAAAUCUCUUUAAAUUUUCAUUAAAAGUCUCAGAAGACUGUGUUAUAGAUGUCUGGUACACUAGUGCCUGGCUUUGAAAGUAUUUCAUGGUCAGUGGAAAAAAAUGAGGAAGAGGAGGGUGUGGCUGCUGCCCGGAGAGUCUGGCCAUGCAGAUGGGGCUGCUGGAGGCUAAGCUUUGGGAGAUGCGGUCCUUGAUCUUUACAAAAUGAAGACUUCUUUUAGGUAAAACAGAAAUAUUUUAUCAGAAAUCAAGUGGGCAUAUAAUCUUACUGAUUUUUUUUUUUUUAAUGCAGAUGACAGAUGGUCAGUUGUUCUCACUUAAGGUUGGCGGCUUUAUGUGCAUUUUGUUUUGCCUCAAAUUACUCAGCUCUUUCAUGAAUCAUGACAAAACCCACAAAAAUUAGUUUCAACUUUUUUUUUAGA